UAUUGUCGGCGCUCUACCAUACUUAUUUUCCUUUUCUUCUCCCGUCACCGCCAAUAUCCACUGCUGGUAAGGUAAACUGAGCUACUCCUUCUUGUCUUCUUCUUUUCACCACAGCCAUGGCUAACCAGCUGCCAGUGUCGCUGCUCUGCCAACUCUCUCUUCGAGCGAACUUAGCCAUCCAUGCAGGCUACUCAACCCAGAGACCCGAUGCAGCCAUUGUUUCGCAUUUCCAUCUACCUUCCAGUCGGAAACCCACUGCACCACAAACUUAUUUUUCAUCGGAAUAAGAUGGAUUGAGAAUCCAUUACAGGGUUUGAUUUCGUAUUUAAAUUUAUGGCUAAAUUUCAAUCCUCUUUUACCCUUUCUUUUCUUUGCUACAAGUUAUGUAAUGUGAAAUUGACAGUACUUGAAUAAAAUUUUGUUUUAAUUUCUAA
rnacentral:lncRNA from 1 species